rnacentral:rRNA from 1 species
AUUCCAGCUCCAAUAGCGUAUAUUAAAGUUGUUGCGGUUAAAAAGUUCGUAGUUGGAUUUCUGUGAAGGAUAACCGGUCCGCACUAUGUGCGUGUAUCUGUUUGUCCUUUGCAUCCUCGCGGAAUACGUCACUGUGCUUCACUGCAUGGGGCGGGCCUCGCGACUUUUACUUUGAGGAAAUUAGAGUGUUCACGGCAGGCUCACGCCAUGAAUAUAUUAGCAUGGAAUAAUAAUAUAGGACCUUGGUUCUAUUUUGUUGGUUUCUAGGGCUAAGGUAAUGAUUAAUAGGGACAAUUGGGGGCAUUCGUAUUAACGCGUCAGAGGUGGAAUUCUUGGAUUGCGUUACGACGAACUACUGCGAAAGCAUUUGCCAAGGAUGUUUUCAUUA